AGGACGAACGCUUGCGACGUGCCUAAGAAAUGCAAGUCGAACGGACAGUAGCAAUACUGUUAGUGGCGAACGGUCGCGUAACACGUGGGCAACCUGCCCUGAAGCGGGGGACAACAACUCGAAAGAGUUGCUAAUACCGCAUGUGAAUCGCUGUGGCAUCACAGAGGAUUCAAAGCCGCAAGGCACUUCAGGAUGGGCCCGCGGCCUAUCAGCUAGUUGGUGAGGUAACGGCCCACCAAGGCUUCGACGGGUAGCUGGUCUGAGAGGACGAUCAGCCGGAUUGGGACUGAGACACGGCCCAGACUCCUACGGGAGGCAGCAGUGGGGAAUCUUGCACAAUGGGCGAAAGCCUGAUGCAGCAACGCCGCGUGAGGGACGAAGGCUUUCUGAGUUGUAAACCUCUUUCAGCAGGGACGAUUAUGACGGUACCUGCAGAAGAAGCCCGGCAACUACGCGCCAGCAGCCGCGGUAA
rnacentral:rRNA from 1 species